rnacentral:rRNA from 1 species
AUACGGAGGGUCCGAGCGUUAAUCGGAAUUACUGGGCGUAAAGCGCGCGUAGGUGGUUCAGUCAGUCAGAUGUGAAAGCCCCGGGCUCAACCUGGGAACUGCACCUGAUACUGCUGAGCUAGAGUACGGUAGAGGGCAGUGGAAUUUCCGGUGUAGCGGUGAAAUGCGUAGAGAUCGGAAGGAACACCAGUGGCGAAGGCGACUGCCUGGACUGAUACUGACACUGAGGUGCGAAAGCGUGGGUAGCAAACAGGAUUAGAUACCCGGGUAGUCCACGCCGUAAACGAUGUCAACUAGCCGUUGGGGGACUUGAUCCUUUAGUGGCGAAGCUAACGCGAUAAGUUGACCGCCUGGGGAGUACGGCCGCAAGGUUAAAACUCAAAUGAAUUGACGGGG